AUUGAACGCUGGCGGCAUGCCUUACACAAGCAAGUCGAACGGUAACGCGGGGCAACCUGGCGACGAGUGGCGAACGGGUGAGUAAUGCAUCGGAACGUGCCCAGUAGUGGGGGAUAGCCCGGCGCAAGCCGGAUUAAUACCGCAUACGACCUACGGGGGAAAGGGGGGGAUCGCAAGACCUCUCGCUAUUGGAGCGGCGGGUGUCAGAUUAGGUACUUGGUGGGGUAAAGGCCCACCAAGCCGACGAUCUGUAGCUGGUCGGAGAGGACGACCAGCCACACUGGGACUGAGACACGGCCCAGACUCCUACGGGAGGCAGCAGUGGGGAAUUUUGGACAAUGGGCGCAAGCCUGAUCCAGCCAUGCCGCGUGCGGGAAGAAGGCCUUCGGGUUGUAAACCGCUUUUGUCAGGGAAGAAAUCUUUUGAGUUAAUACCUCGGAAGGAUGACGGUACCUGAAGAAUAAGCACCGGCUAACUACGUGCCAGCCGCCGCAGUAACAC
rnacentral:rRNA from 1 species